rnacentral:rRNA from 1 species
AGUCGAACGAUGAUCCGGUGCUUGCACCGGGGAUUAGUGGCGAACGGGUGAGUAACACGUGAGUAACCUGCCCUUGACUCUGGGAUAAGCCUGGGAAACUGGGUCUAAUACCGGAUAUGACUCCUCAUCGCAUGGUGGGGGGUGGAAAGCUUUUGCGGUUUUGGAUGGACUCGCGGCCUAUCAGCUUGUUGGUGAGGUAAUGGCUUACCAAGGCGACGACGGGUAGCCGGCCUGAGAGGGUGACCGGCCACACUGGGACUGAGACACGGCCCAGACUCCUACGGGAGGCAGCAGUGGGGAAUAUUGCACAAUGGGCGCAAGCCUGAUGCAGCGACGCCGCGUGAGGGAUGACGGCCUUCGGGUUGUAAACCUCUUUCAGUAGGGAAGAAGCGAAAGUGACGGUACCUGCAGAAGAAGCGCCGGCUAACUACGUGCCAGCAGCCGCGGUAAUACGUAGGGCGCAAGCGUUAUCCGGAAUUAUUGGGCGUAAAGAGCUCGUAGGCGGUUUGUCGCGUCUGCCGUGAAAGUCCGGGGCUCAACUCCGGAUCUGCGGUGGGUACGGGCAGACUAGAGUGAUGUAGGGGAGACUGGAAUUCCUGGUGUAGCGGUGAAAUGCGCAGAUAUCAGGAGGAACACCGAUGGCGAAGGCAGGUCUCUGGGCAUUAACUGACGCUGAGGAGCGAAAGCAUGGGGAGCGAACAGGAUUAGAU